GUUGAUAGUUGUGUUGUAACGGAUUUAAAGGGCUUCCUUUACUUUUCUUGUCCUUAAUUUGUUUUCCACGCAAGGGACUUCAGGUUGCAACCUACUAGAGCAGGUGGCUGCAUGCUCAGCCACGGCUGAAGCCAUCAUACAUUGCAUCAUUAUUGUUGUGGGUUUAUGCCGCCAUUACGUGUAUGCGCUGAGGACGGGAAAAGUUGCUUCCCGAAAGCUACGCAAUAAAAAGUUGCUUCUUGCAACAACUGGUUGAAAUACUCCGUAAGUAAUUUGUAGUUAUGAGAACUAACACGCCCGUUCAUAGAAGCAGUAUCUUCAAAAGCAAGUGAUAAUAUUACUGCAGACAGAAGGGGACAUCCGUAUUGCUGCGUUAGAGGUGAAAUUCUUGGAUCGCAGCAAGACGAACAAUUGCGAAAGCAUUUGUCAAGAAUGUUUUCAUUAAUCAAGAAUGAAAGUUCGAGGUUUGAAGGCGAUCAGAUACCGCCAUGGUUGUGACUGUAAACAUAAAGGUAUGUUC
rnacentral:ncRNA from 1 species